rnacentral:rRNA from 1 species
AACGAACGCUGGCGGCAGGCUUAACACAUGCAAGUCGAGCGCCCCGCAAGGGGAGCGGCAGACGGGUGAGUAACGCGUGGGAAUCUACCCAUCUCUACGGAAUAACGCAUGGAAACGUGUGCUAAUACCGUAUACGUCCUUCGGGAGAAAGAUUUAUCGGAGAUGGAUGAGCCCGCGUUGGAUUAGCUAGUUGGUGGGGUAAAGGCCUACCAAGGCGACGAUCCAUAGCUGGUCGGAGAGGAUGAUCAGCCACACUGGGACUGAGACACGGCCCAGACUCCUACGGGAGGAAGCAGUGGGGAAUAUUGGACAAUGGGCACAAGCCUGAUCCAGCCAUGCCGCGUGAGUGAUGAAGGCCCUAGGGUUGUAAAGCUCUUUCACCGGUGAAGAUAAUGACGGUAACCGGAGAAGAAGCCCCGGCUAACUUCGUGCCAGCAGCCGCGGUAAUAC